UAGUUAGUAUGAUGAUAUGAUUGUUGUUUUAUACUAUUUUAAAUGGGUGUGAUAAGGAUAUUUUAUUGUUUGAAACAAAAUUCAAGUGGUUGCGAGAGUAUUAACCAAGUUACUAAGAUUUUUAGCUUAAAAGGAGGGGUCUUGGGUAGUGAAAUUUAAAAAUAUGUAUGAGAAUGUUAUUAGAAUUGUUUUGGUAUUGUCAUGAGGUAAUUUGAAACUUGUUAGGAGGGUUAGAUGAUUAAAAACUAUGUGAAUUAAAAAGGGUGGUAUAGAGGGGUUGUUUUCAAGUCUCUUUUUUUUUUAUAAAAGGAGGGUGUUGAGUAGUGAAAUGUUAAGGUUAGUGUGCUGCACUAUUUUGGAAGGUUAGGGGUAUGUUAUCUAUUAGGACCUUUCUAGAUGACUAAACGAGUGAAAUCUGUUCUGAAAUGGAAAAUGACUUCAUAGGUUGAGUUUUUAGCCCAUUUUAGGGGUUUUAAGGGGUGAAAAUG
rnacentral:lncRNA from 1 species